UACUAACUCAUGACUUGCUACUCUACCGAUUGUGUUAACACUUAUCAUCUGGUUAUCAGUGGAACCAAUAGGCAAAACCAACUCGAUUACCCAACUCAGAGCUUACUAGAGAAUCAAUUUACUUGCUCCAAUUCUCCCUCGAGCGACGACGACGGCCUGCGGCGGAGCUUAUUCUGGAAAAUUAGUCACAUCACAUUGAAUUUCCCGCGCAGCUAAUUAAUUUUGUUCCAAUUACCGUUCUCGCGCGUUCGUUCGCUGCAAAUCGCGCAAAUGUUCAGUGCGACAUUGCGCUGCUCUAGAACUCGGUUAGAUCUUGAGCCGUUGGGUAGUUUUCGCAUCUAGCGAUCAGUUUCCCCUGUGAGGUCCAAGUGCUUGCAUCCUAGUCGUGCGCAGAAGGGUCAUCUUCCCCAAGCAGGUGCCAUUCGCCAGAUUCAAGUGUCAAUUUGUUAGCUGAUUUUAUUGAAGCCAUUUACACAACCGGCGGCAGCGUUUAAGCGAAGGUCCAUCACCAUUUCGACUGCCGGUGCUAUUGAAUGUCCGUGUGUGUGAUUUUGUGCCAAUAAUGGAAUAUAAUCGACGACGACGGUGCUGCUGACCGAAACGUCGUCGUCGUCGUCUACAACGUAAAUCGUACAACCGUUUUGUGGAUUACUAGGUACCCAUCGCCGCGAGGGAGAGGACGUCAUCCAUUCGUUCGAAUUCUGUUUCUGUUUAUUUUCCUUCACAAGAAAAUUAUGUGCAUCAACCUUUGACUCUUGUUCUCUUUUCAAUCUGUGCUUAAUUUUGAAUGGAUUUCAUUAAAUUAAUAUACGUUUAAUCGCA